rnacentral:tRNA from 1 species
UAGCUCAGUGAUAAAGCACUUGCCUACCAUGCAAGAGGCCUAGGUUUGAUUCCCAG